GUUUAAUAGGCAAGAAGCAAGGGAGAAGACAGAAGGAAGAAGCUUCCCCAUACAGAGAAAGAGGGAGGAGGGCUCCAAAGCUGAGAGAGGAGGUACCCGCCUGCCAAGGAUACCAGCCAGCCUCUAGUUUGUAGCAACUCAGCAUUCUGCAAAGACUCUGCUCCAGCUGGGCAAGUAACCUUGUUAUUGCAUACACAGGUAUGCUCAGAGGACAGAAGGCUGGAAGGAAGGGAAGAAGGUAGAAAAACAAGAGUGAAAAAGAGGGUUUCCGAUUUAUGGAUGUAUAUUAAAGCAUAUUGAAGAUAUCAGGUGAUUUCAUCCCUUUAUACACUUCAGCAUAUAUCUCCAAAUGGUGAGAGAGACAGACACUGGGAGUGCUCAUGCGCAGAGGAAAGGCCGUAGGAGGAUGCUAUAAAAAGGCUGUUGUCUGCAAGCCAAGGGGUGAGGCCUCGGGAGAAACCAAGCCUGUUGACACCACGAUCUUGGACUUCCACCCCUUCAGAACCGUUGUUGGGGGAGAGAUCACUGAGUGGAGUGGUUCCCAAUUGUAAUCACCUGGGGACUCCUAACACAGCUGAUGCCCAGCUAGCACCCAGGAUAAUUUAAAUUAGAAACUUCAGAAAGUUUCAAGCAUACACAAAAGAAGGGAAAUAACUAAUUAAUCAUAUCUUGCAUGCUGUUUCAUCCUUGUGAAGGCAGUAUGGCUUAAUGGUCAAGACUGCACAAUCUGAAACUAAACUGCUCGGCUCACCUCAGGUA
rnacentral:lncRNA from 1 species